UGGUUUUCCAGGCAAAUCCGGAAAAUCAAGGCUGAGGCGUGAUGACGAGGCACUACGGUGCUGAAGCAACAAAUGCCCUGCUUCCAGGAAAAGCCUCUAAGCAUCAGGUAACAUCAAAUCGUACCCCAAACCGACACAGGUGGUCAGGUAGAGAAUACCAAGGCGCUUGAGAGAACUCGGGUGAAGGAACUAGGCAAAAUGGUGCCGUAACUUCGGGAGAAGGCACGCUGACACGUAGGUGAAGUGAUUUACUCAUGGAGCUGAAGUCAGUCGAAGAUACCAGCUGGCUGCAACUGUUUAUUAAAAACACAGCACUGUGCAAACACGAAAGUGGACGUAUACGGUGUGACGCCUGCCCGGUGCCGGAAGGUUAAUUGAUGGGGUCAGCGCAAGCGAAGCUCCUGAUCGAAGCCCCGGUAAACGGCGGCCGUAACUAUAACGGUCCUAAGGUAGCGAAAUUCCUUGUCGGGUAAGUUCCGACCUGCACGAAUGGCGUAAUGAUGGCCAGGCUGUCUCCACCCGAGACUCAGUGAAAUUGAACUCGCUGUGAAGAUGCAGUGUACCCGCGGCAAGACGGAAAGACCCCGUGAACCUUUACUAUAGCUUGACACUGAACAUUGAGCCUUGAUGUGUAGGAUAGGUGGGAGGCUUUGAAGUGUGGACGCCAGUCUGCAUGGAGCCGACCUUGAAAUACCACCCUUUAAUGUUUGAUGUUCUAACGUGGACCCGUGAUCCGGGUUGCGGACAGUGUCUGGUGGGUAGUUUGACUGGGGCGGUCUCCUCCUAAAGAGUAACGGAGGAGCACGAAGGUUGGCUAAUCCUGGUCGGACAUCAGGAGGUUAGUGCAAUGGCAUAAGCCAGCUUGACUGCGAGCGUGACGGCGCGAGCAGGUGCGAAAGCAGGUCAUAGUGAUCCGGUGGUUCUGAAUGGAAGGGCCAUCGCUCAACGGAUAAAAGGUACUCCGGGGAUAACAGGCUGAUACCGCCCAAGAGUUCAUAUCGACGGCGGUGUUUGGCACCUCGAUGUCGGCUCAUCACAUCCUGGGGCUGAAGUAGGUCCCAAGGGUAUGGCUGUUCGCCAUUUAAAGUGGUACGCGAGCUGGGUUUAGAACGUCGUGAGACAGUUCGGUCCCUAUCUGCCGUGGGCGCUGGAGAACUGAGGGGGGCUGCUCCUAGUACGAGAGGACCGGAGUGGACGCAUCACUGGUGUUCGGGUUGUCAUGCCAAUGGCACUGCCCGGUAGCUAAAUGCGGAAGAGAUAAGUGCUGAAAGCAUCUAAGCACGAAACUUGCCCCGAGAUGAGUUCUCCCUGAGACUUAAAGUCUCCUGAAGGAACGUUGAAGACGACGACGUUGAUAGGCCGGGUGUGUAAGCGCAGCGAUGCGUUGAGCUAACCGGUACUAAUGAACCGUGAGGCUUAACCUUACAACGCCGAA
rnacentral:rRNA from 1 species